CGAACACGAGCCGGCUCGCUCAUUUGCCAGCCCUACUGCUACUAGCUUUGUUUUGCAUUAACAUUUCAGGACAAUUAUCGACUGUCCCUAGCGCAAGUGGCAAAGGGCUUGGUGGUUGGUACCCGAGGUCCCAAGUUCGAAUCCUAGUUGAUUCAUAUUUCCAGCUAAGUUUAUUUCUAAAUAAAAUAAAAAAAAAUGGGUAGCGUGCUACCUAUCUCUCUCAAAAAAAAAAAAAAAAAAAAACAUUUCGGGAAAAUUAGCGCUGAAAAGAACUCAAAUGCAUCUCUUGGCGAGGUGCAAACGAUGGAAUACGUCUUAUUACAGUGCUGCACACACUUCUGGAACAUAAACUUUUUAGUGCUACACACACUUCUAGAACAUAAAUUUUUUACUUACUACAUUAAUUUCUGACUUUUCUAGCGCUCAUCGAUAAUUGUGAUUUUACUCUUUUUUAGGCUUUCUUAGUCACAACUUCUUCUAACAAUCACCAAAGAGGAAGGAUACAACACUAAAACAUUGGAAGGGAAUGUUUGUAUUAGCAAUUGGGUCUAAGAGUACCGAUCGCUCCUAAUAUAAGUGGCAGAGGAUUUGAUGGUUGAUAUUCGAAGUUUUAAGUUCAAAUCUUAGUUGAUUUAUAUUUUUCAAAUCUUAGUUGAUUUAUAUAUUUCAGCUAAAUUUAUUUCUAAAAAAAUAAAACGAAACAAAUUGUAAAAAUAAAAAAUAAAAUAAAAUAAAAUAAAGAUGCUAGCAUUA
rnacentral:lncRNA from 1 species